CCUACGGGUGGCAGCAGUAGGGAAUUUUCCUCAAUGGGCGCAAGCCUGAUCGAGCGAUGCCGCGUGAGUGAAGAAGGCCUUCGGGUCGUAAAGCUCUGUUGCGGGGGAAAAAAGGCAGCAUCCGGAAAUGGGUACUGACUGAUGGUGCCGUGCCAGAAAGUCACGGCUAACUACGUGCCAGCAGCCGCGGUAAUACGUAGGUGGCGAGCGUUAUCCGGAAUGAUUGGGCGUAAAGGGUGCGCAGGCGGUCCUGGAAGUCUGAAGGGAAACGCAUGAGCUUAACUCAGGAAUGGCUUUGGAAACUGGAGGACUGGAGAGCAGGAGAGGGCGGUGGAACUCCAUGUGUAGCGGUAAAAUGCGUAGAUAUAUGGAGGAACACCAGUGGCGAAGGCGGCCGCCUGGCCUUUUGCUGACGCUGAGGCACGAAAGCGUGGGGAGCAAACAGGAUUAGAUACCCCAGUAGUC
rnacentral:rRNA from 1 species